rnacentral:rRNA from 1 species
AUGGUUGUGAAGUUAAUGGACAGCCGGUGGGAGGUGAUUUUCUUUGUUCGUGAACACAAUCAUGCAUUGGUUGACAAACCAUCACUAACUAAGUACCUCCAAUCACAUCAAGGGAUUCCUCCGGAAGAAAAACUAUUCCUGAAGAAUCUUCAUAACUGUAAUUUGACCACAGGACGUAUGAUGAACAUCAUGUCUGAAUUUUAUGGGUCAGAGCUAAUCGUGCCUUAUGCAACUAAAGCAAUAUCAAAUCUUAAAUCCGGCUUGAACAAGAUGGCAACGAGGGAAGGAGAUAUGAUUGAGACAGUUGCUUACUUCAAGGAUCAACAG